AUUGAACGCUGGCGGCAGGCCUAACACAUGCAAGUCGAGCGAGCGGCGGACGGGUGAGUAAUGUGUGGGAACCUGCCUGAUGGAGGGGGAUAACCACGGGAACCGGGAGCUAAAACCGCAUCCCAUAAGAGGUGGCGAGAUGGGAGUAGCUCGUAGGUGGGGUAAUGGCUCACCUAGGCGACGGUCCCUAGCUGGUAUGAGAGGAUGACCAGCCACAUGUGAACUGAGACACCGUCCAGACUCCUACGUGAGGCCGCAGUGGGGAAUAGUGGACAAUGGGCGCAAUCCUUAUGCAGCCAUGCCGAGUGUAUGAAGAAGGCCUUCGGGUUGUAAAGUACUUUCAGCGGUUAUGCGGGACCCGCAGAAGAAGCACCGGCUAACUCCGUGCCAGCAGCCGCGGUAAUAA
rnacentral:rRNA from 1 species